CAAAGGAGAGGACACGAUUCAGUUGGAUCUUGAAGCAGAGUUCUCGAGUUUGGUUCUUGAUAUUAUAGGGCUUAGUGUGUUCAACUACGACUUCGGCUCUGUCACAAAGAGUCCCCUGUGAUUAAAGUUUUUUUAUUUAUUGGAAUUGUAUAUUAGCAAGCCUGGUCCGUUCCCUUCUUGAAUGUUUCUGCUGUACAUCGCAUGCAGUUUAUGAAAUCUUUUCGAGGCAGAGCAUCAGUCAACUUUCUACUUCCCGUAUUGGAAAUUUCCUCCAGCCAAAUGGAUAGUUCCAAGGCAAAGAAAGUUCCAAACCGAUCUCUAGAUCUCAAAAAAAAAAGCAAAAGAGACAAGACAGGAAACAGAUGCAGAGAAGCUCCAGAAACGUUACUACUCUAAUCUCAAGAGGAUGCAAGUCUUUUAUGGUUCUUGGUCGACAUGCCCUGUGUUGAUAUUGAUGACCGGCAGACAAGAUUAUAUAACUUACUAAUCUUGAGAAAAAAAUUAGGAAAGCUGAAGCGGAGAUUUAUACUGUACUUGGUGAAGGUGCA